AGAACGACUCUCGGCAACGGAUAUCUCGGCUCUCGCAUCGAUGAAGAAUGUAGCGAAAUGCGAUACUUGGUGUGAAUUGCAGAAUCCCGUGAACCAUCGAGUCUUUGAACGCAAGUUGCGCCCGAAGCCUUCUGGCCGAGGGCACGUCUGUCUGGGCGUCA
rnacentral:rRNA from 1 species